AUUGAACGCUGGCGGAAUGCUUUACACAUGCAAGUCGAACGGCAGCACGGGGCAACCUGGUGGCGAGUGGCGAACGGGUGAGUAAUAUAUCGGAACGUGCCCAAUCGUGGGGGAUAACGUAGCGAAAGUUACGCUAAUACCGCAUACGAUCUACGGAUGAAAGCGGGGGAUCGCAAGACCUCGCGCGAAUGGAGCGGCCGAUAUCAGAUUAGGUAGUUGGUGGGGUAAAGGCCCACCAAGCCAACGAUCUGUAGCUGGUCUGAGAGGACGACCAGCCACACUGGAACUGAGACACGGUCCAGACUCCUACGGGAGGCAGCAGUGGGGAAUUUUGGACAAUGGGCGCAAGCCUGAUCCAGCAAUGCCGCGUGCAGGAUGAAGGCCUUCGGUUGUAAACUGCUUUGUACGGACGAAAGGACUCUGGUUAAUACCUGGGCUCAUGACGGUACCGUAAGAAUAAGCACCGGCUAACUACGUGCCAGCAGCCGCGGUAAU
rnacentral:rRNA from 1 species